AACGAACGCUGGCGGCAGGCCUAACACAUGCAAGUCGAACGCUCCGCAAGGGGAGUGGCAGACGGGUGAGUAACGCGUGGGAACCUACCUUACGGUCGGGAAUAGCUCAGGGAAACUUGGGGUAAUACCGGAUACGCCCUUACGGGGAAAGAUUUAUCGCCGUUAGAUGGGCCCGCGUAGGAUUAGCUAGUUGGUGAGGUAACGGCUCACCAAGGCGACGAUCCUUAGCUGGUCUGAGAGGAGGAUCAGCCACACUGGGACUGAGACACGGCCCAGACUCCUACGGGAGGCAGCAGUGGGGAAUAUUGGACAAUGGGCGCAAGCCUGAUCCAGCCAUGCCGCGUGAGUGACGAAGGCCUUAGGGUUGUAAAGCUCUUUUGGCGGGGAAGAUAAUGACGGUACCCGCAGAAUAAGCUCCGGCUAACCUCGUGCCAGCCGCCGCCGUAAAAC
rnacentral:rRNA from 1 species